rnacentral:rRNA from 1 species
CAAGUCGAACGAUGAAGCUGGAGCUUGCUCUAGUGGAUUAGUGGCGAACGGGUGAGUAACACGUGAGCAAUCUGCCCUUGACUCUGGGAUAACUGCGGGAAACUGUAGCUAAUACCGGAUACGACACCUUGGGGCAUCCCGAGGUGUGGAAAGAAUUUCGGUCAAGGAUGAGCUCGCGGCCUACCAGCUUGUUGGUGAGGUAAAAGCUCACCAAGGCGACGACGGGUAGCCGGCCUGAGAGGGUGACCGGCCACACUGGAACUGAGAUACGGUCCAGACUCCUACGGGAGGCAGCAGUGGGGAAUAUUGCACAAUGGGCGCAAGCCUGAUGCAGCAACGCCGCGUGAGGGAUGAAGGCCUUCGGGUUGUAAACCUCUUUUAUCAGGGAAGAAGCGAAAGUGACGGUACCUGAAGAAAAAGCACCGGCUAACUACGUGCCAGCAGCCGCGGUAAUACGUAGGGUGCAAGCGUUGUCCGGAAUUAUUGGGCGUAAAGAGCUCGUAGGCGGUUUGUCGCGUCUGCUGUGAAAAUCCAAGGCCCAACCUUGGACCUGCAGUGGGUACGGGCAGACUAGAGUGCGGUAGGGGAGAUGGGAAUUCCUGGUGUAGCGGUGGAAUGCGCAGAUAUCAGGAGGAACACCAAUGGCGAAGGCACAUCUCUGGGCCGUAACUGACGCUGAGGAGCGAAAGCGUGGGGAGCGAACAGGAUUAGAUACCCUGGUAGUCCACGCCGUAAACGGUGGGUGCUAGUUGUGGGCCACAUUCCACGUGGUCCGUGACGAAGUUAACACAUUAAGCACCCCGCCUGGGGAGUACGGUCGCAAGACUAAAACUCAAAGGAAUUGACGG